UACGUAGGGCGCGAGCGUUGUCCGGAUUUAUUGGGCGUAAAGAGCGUGUAGGCGGCCUGACAGGUCUGCUGUGAAAACUCGAGGCUCAACCUCGAGAUGUCGGCGGAAACCGUCUGGCUAGAGUCCGGAAGAGGAGAGUGGAAUUCCUGGUGUAGCGGUGAAAUGCGCAGAUAUCAGGAAGAACACCUAUGGCGAAGGCAGCUCUCUGGGACGGUACUGACGCUGAGACGCGAAAGCGUGGGGAGCGAACAGG
rnacentral:rRNA from 1 species